rnacentral:rRNA from 1 species
CCCUUAGAUGUCCGGGGCUGCACGCGCGCUACACUGAAGGAAUCAGCGUGCUAAAACCAUUGUCGAAAGGCAUUGGUAAACCCAUUAAAAUCCUACGUGAUUGGGAUCGGGAAUUGCAAUUAUUUCCCUUGAACGAGGAAUUCCCAGUAAGUGUGGGUCAUAAGCUCGCGUUGAUUACGUCCCUGCCCUUUGUACACACCGCCCGUCGCUGCCCGGGACUGAGCCGUUUCGAGAAAAGCGGGGACUGCUGCUGACGGGGCUUUCGGGCCUUGGCUUCGGUGGAAACCGCUUUAAUCGCAGUGGCUUGAACCGGGCAAAAGUCGUAACA